rnacentral:rRNA from 1 species
UACGUAGGGUGCAAGCGUUGUCCGGAAUUAUUGGGCGUAAAGAGCUCGUAGGCGGUCUGUCGCGUCUGCUGUGAAAACUCAGGGCUUAACCCUGAGCUUGCAGUGGGUACGGGCAGACUAGAGUGCGGUAGGGGAGACUGGAAUUCCUGGUGUAGCGGUGAAAUGCGCAGAUAUCAGGAGGAACACCGGUGGCGAAGGCGGGUCUCUGGGCCGUAACUGACGGCUGGAGGAGCGAAAGCUGGGGAGCGAACAGG